UUCCAGCUCCAAUAGCGUAUAUUAAAGUUGUUGCAGUUAAAAAGCUCGUAGUUGAAUUUCGGGGUUAGUAGGUUGGUCAUGCCUCCGGUAUGUACUGAUCUCACUGAUUCCUCCUUCCUUAUGAACCGUAAUGCCAUUAAUUUGGUGUUGCGGGGAAUUUGGACUGUUACUUUGAAAAAAUUAGAGUGUUUAAAGCAGGCUAACGCUUGAAUACAUUAGCAUGGAAUAAUGAAAUAGGACGUUCGAUCUUAUUUUGUUGGUUUCUAGGAUUGACGUAAUGAUUAAUAGGGAUAGUUGGGGGCAUUAGUAUUCAAUUGUCAGAGGUGAAAUUCUUGGAUUUAUUGAAGACUAACUACUGCGAAAGCAUUUGCCAAGGAUGUUUUCAUUAAUCAAGAACGAAAGUUAGGGGAUCGAAGACGAUCAGAUACCGUCGUAGUCUUAACCAUAAACUAUGCCGACUAGGGAUCGG
rnacentral:rRNA from 1 species